CAGUCGCCACGGUAAUCCGGAGGGGGCUAGCGUUGUUCGGAAUUACUGGGCGUAAAGCGCACGUAGGCGGCUUGGUAAGUUAGAGGUGAAAGCCCGGAGCUCAACUCCGGAAUUGCCUUUAAGACUGCCGAGCUAGUAGGUGAGAGAGGUAAGUGGAAUUCCGAGUGUAGAGGUGAAAUUCGUAGAUAUUCGGAAGAACACCAGUGGCGAAGGCGGCUUACUGGCUCAUUCUAGACGCUGAGGUGCGAAAGCGUGGGGAGCAAACAGGAUUAGAUACCCGUGUAGUCCCUGUCUCUUAUAC
rnacentral:rRNA from 1 species